UGUCCAAUGCGGGAAUCGAACCCGGGUCCUAGUGGUCGAAAACCAAACGGUUUUAACCAGCCUUCCACCAAUUUAUAAUUGUAAC